rnacentral:rRNA from 1 species
ACGAACGCUGGCGGCACGCUUAACACAUGCAAGUCGAACGAGAGAAGAGGAGCUUGCUUUUCUGAUCUAGUGGCGGACGGGUGAGUAACACGUGAGCAAUCUGCCUUUCAGAGGGGGAUACCGAUUGGAAACGAUCGUUAAUACCGCAUAACAUAAUUGAACCGCAUGAUUUGAUUAUCAAAGAUUUAUCGCUGAAAGAUGAGCUCGCGUCUGAUUAGCUAGUUGGUAAGGUAACGGCUUACCAAGGCGACGAUCAGUAGCCGGACUGAGAGGUUGAUCGGCCACAUUGGGACUGAGACACGGCCCAGACUCCUACGGGAGGCAGCAGUGGGGAAUAUUGCACAAUGGAGGAAACUCUGAUGCAGCGAUGCCGCGUGAGGGAAGAAGGUUUUAGGAUUGUAAACCUCUGUCUUCAGGGACGAAAAAUGACGGUACCUGAGGAGGAAGCUCCGGCUAACUACGUGCCAGCAGCCGCGGUAAUACGUAGGGAGCGAGCGUUGUCCGGAAUUACUGGGUGUAAAGGGAGCGUAGGCGGGAUCGCAAGUCAGAUGUGAAAACUAUGGGCUUAACCCAUAAACUGCAUUUGAAACUGUGGUUCUUGAGUGAAGUAGAGGUAAGCGGAAUUCCUAGUGUAGCGGUGAAAUGCGUAGAUAUUAGGAGGAACAUCAGUGGCGAAGGCGGCUUACUGGGCUUUAACUGACGCUGAGGCUCGAAAGCGUGGGGAGCAAACAGGAUUAGAUACCCUGGUAGUCCACGCCGUAAACGAUGAUUACUAGGUGUGGGGGGACUGACCCCUUCCGUGCCGCAGCAAACGCAAUAAGUAAUCCACCUGGGGAGUACGACCGCAAGGUUGAAACUCAAAGGAAUUGACGGGGGCCCGCACAAGCAGUGGAGUAUGUGGAUUAAUUCGAAGCAACGCGAAGAACCUUACCAGGUCUUGACAUCGUAUGCAUAGCUCAGAGAUGAGUGAAAUCUCUUCGGAGACAUAUAGACAGGUGGUGCAUGGUUGUCGUCAGCUCGUGUCGUGAGAUGUUGGGUUAAGUCCCGCAACGAGCGCAACCCUUACUGUUAGUUGCUACGCAAGAGCACUCUAGCAGGACUGCCGUUGACAAAACGGAGGAAGGUGGGGAUGACGUCAAAUCAUCAUGCCCCUUAUGACCUGGGCCUCACACGUACUACAAUGGCUGUCAACAGAGGGAAGCAAAGCCGCGAGGUGGAGCAAACCCCUAAAAGCAGUCUUAGUUCGGAUUGUAGGCUGCAACCCGCCUACAUGAAGUCGGAAUUGCUAGUAAUCGCAGAUCAGCAUGCUGCGGUGAAUACGUUCCCGGGCCUUGUACACACCGCCCGUCACGCCAUGGGAGUCGGUAGCACCCGAAGCCUGUAGUCUAACCGCAAGGAGGACGCAGUCGAAGGUGGGAUUGAUGACUGGGGUG